rnacentral:ncRNA from 1 species
GCCUCCGCGGGGCCGCCGCCCCUGUUGCGCUUGCCUCUCGUCCGCCUUUGUGCCUGCCUUGCGCGGUGUCGGCUCCGUGGGCGCCGCCGGCGCCGUGCACUCCCCUCCUUUUCCCGUUCUUUUCCUUCUUCCGUGCCUCGGCGGCGGGGCCUUGCCCCUCUUUUUGGCCCCCAGGCUCGCUUGCGGGCCGCUCCGGGCGGCCGCCAUUGUCCGGUGGGGCGUUUGGCUGGGGCGGCCCCUCUGUUACCAGCUACCGCCGGUGUCCUCCGCAUGCGCUCCCGCGACCAGACAUCUCGUGUGGCACCGCACGGGUCACACGCUCGUUUGCAUUCUGAUUUCCCGUCCGCAUCCGCACCGUGCACGCGUGGCCUCCCGAUCCUUUAGCCCUUCGGCAUUCGACGCUCGCGGUGUCAGACCGUUCCCCCGGGCUACUGGCUUGUGGCAGCCCGCGUUCAUCGCGACGUUGCUUUUUGCUCCUUCGACUGUCGGCUCUUCCUACUCCAUUGUGACAGCCAGCAUUCACCCAGUGUUGGAUUGUUCACCCACCCAUAGGGAACGUGAGCUGGGUUUAGACCGUCGUGACGACCAGGUUAGUUUUACCCUCCUGAUGACCAGUGUCGCCAUAGUAAUUCACCUAGUACGCGAGGACCGUUGAUUCGCCCAUUGGUCAUCGCGCUUGGUUGAAAGCCAGUGGCGCGAAGCUACCGUGCGUUGGAUUAUGACUGAACGCCUCUAAGUCAGAAUCCGGGCUAGACCGACGCAUGCGCUCGUCGCCCGUUUGCCGACCCGCAGUAGGGGCCAUUUGGCCCCCAGGGCACGUGUCGUUGGCUAAGCCGUCGUGGCGGAAGGGUCACGGUGGCCGCCUUGAAUUACAAUUCCGAUCGAGCGGCGAGCUGAAUCCUUUGCAGACGACUUAAAUACGCGACGGGGUAUUGUAAGGGGUAGAGUGGCCUUGCUGCCACGAUCCUCUGAGAUUCAGCCCUUUGUCGCUCCGAUUC